rnacentral:rRNA from 1 species
UUUUCGAAGAGUUUGAUCCUGGCUCAGAGUGAACGCUAGCGGCGCGCCUAACACAUGCAAGUCGAGUGGGUUUAGACCCACGGCAAACGGCUGCGUAACACGUUGGAACCUUCCCCGGACUCAGGGAUAACCCCGCGAAAGCGGGGCUAAUACCGGAUGGCCUCGGUACCUCUCUAUACUGAACUCGAAGAUCGCUGUCGAAAAUGAUUCACCGAUUGUUAAACCAGCAUCAAUCUCAGUAUAUAGAGGUGCCGAGUAAAGAUUUAUCGGUCCGGGAGGGGCCUGCGGCCUAUCAGCUAGUUGGCGAGGUAACGGCUCACCAAGGCAAUGACGGGUAGCUGGUCUGAGAGGACGACCAGCCAGAAUGGAACUGCGACACGGUCCAUACUCCUACGGGAGGCAGCAGUGAGGAAUCUUCCGCAAUGGACGAAAGUCUGACGGAGCGACGCCGCGUGGUGGAUGAAAGCCUUAACUGGUUGUAAACACCUGUUCUGAGGGACGAAAUUUUUGACGGUACCUCAGGAGAAAGUAUCGGCUAACCCUGUGCCAGCAGCCGCGGUAAGACAGGGGAUACAAGCGUUACUCGGAAUUACUGGGCGUAAAGCGUCUGUAGGUUUUCCGAAAAGUCUGAGGUAAAAACUCAGGGCUUAACCCUGAGAGCGUCUCGGAAACUCUCGGAAUCGAGCAGUGGAGAGGCAUCUGGAAUGCCAUGUGUAGGAGUAAAAUCCGUAGAUAUAUGGUAGAACGCCAAAAGCGAAGGCAGGAUGCUAGCCACUUGCUGACACUGAGAGACGAAAGCAUGGGGAGCAAAGGGGAUUAGAUACCCCCGUAGUCCAUGCCCUAAACGAUGCGUGCUCGAUGUGGGAG